UGGGGAAUUUUGGACAAUGGGCGAAAGCCUGAUCCAGCAAUGCCGCGUGUGUGAAGAAGGCCUUCGGGUUGUAAAGCACUUUUGUCCGGAAAGAAAUGGCUCUGGUUAAUACCUGGGGUCGAUGACGGUACCGGAGGAAUAAGGACCGGCUAACUACGUGCCAGCAGCCGCGGUAAUACGUAGGGUCCAAGCGUUAAUCGGAAUUACUGGGCGUAAAGCGUGCGCAGGCGGUUGUGAAAGACCGAUGUGAAAUCCCCGAGCUUAACUUGGGAAUUGCAUUGGAGACUGCACGGCUAGAGUGUGUAAGAGGAGGGUAGAAUUCCACGUGUAGCAGUGAAAUGCGUAGAGAUGUGGAGGAAUACCGAUGGCGAAGGCAGCCCCCUGGGAUAACACUGACGCUCAUGCACGAAAGCGUGGGGAGCAAACAGG
rnacentral:rRNA from 1 species